rnacentral:rRNA from 1 species
AAACUUAAAUGAAUUGACGGGGAGCACCACAACAGGUGGAGCCUGCGGUUUAAUCGGACUCAACGCCGGGAAACUCACCAGAUAAGACAGCUGAAUGAUAGUCGGGCUGAAGACUCUACUUGACUAGCUGAGAGGAGGUGCAUGGCCGUCGUCAGUUCGUACUGUGAAGCAUCCUGUUAAGUCAGGCAACGAGCGAGACCCACGCCCACAGUUGCCAGCGUACUCUCUGGAGUGACGGGUACACUGUGGGACCGCCGCUGCUAAAGCGGAGGAAGGAAUGGGCAACGGUAGGUCAGUAUGCCCCGAAUAUCCCGGGCUACACGCGAGCUACAAUGGUUGGUACAAUGGGUAUCUACCCCGAAAGGGGACGGGAAUCUCCUAAAACCAAUCUUAGUUCGGAUUGAGGGCUGCAACUCGCCCUCAUGAAGCUGGAAUCCGUAGUAAUCGCGUUUCAACAGAACGCGGUGAAUACGUCCCUGCUCCUU